rnacentral:rRNA from 1 species
GAUCAUGGCUCAGGACGAACGCUGGCGGCGCGCCUAACACAUGCAAGUCGAACGAGAGAGAGGGAGCUUGCUUCCUCAAUCGAGUGGCGAACGGGUGAGUAACGCGUGAGGAACCUGCCUCAAAGAGGGGGACAACAGUUGGAAACGACUGCUAAUACCGCAUAAGCCCACGACCCGGCAUCGGGUUGAGGGAAAAGGAGCAAUACGCUUUGAGAUGGCCUCGCGUCCGAUUAGCUAGUUGGUG